rnacentral:lncRNA from 1 species
GUUUUUACUUGGAAGUUUACAAAAGUGAUUGGUGAUUUGCUAUCAAAUAUAAAAAAAGAAGCUAAAAUAUCAUUGGACAGUUUAACAGCCUUUAAAAUAUAAUGGUCUCUCUGGCUGGACAUCCACAGUAGCUGUAGAAGCCCAGAAGGUCAAUCUUUAAUGAACUGGGAACAUCUGCCCAGAAGGACUGCGGUUGAUUUAAGCAUCUUUGCUUUUAAUUUUUGGUACCUUUUAGAGG